rnacentral:rRNA from 1 species
CCUACGGGCGGCACCAGUGGGGAAUAUUGCACAAUGGGCGGAAGCCUGAUGCGGCGACGCCGCGUGAGGGAUGACGGCCUUCGGGUUGUAAACCUCUUUCAGCACGGAAGAAGCGAAAGUGACGGUACGUGCAGAAGAAGCGCCGGCUAACUACGUGCCAGCAGCCGCGGUAAUACGUAGGGCGCAAGCGUUGUCCGGAAAUAUUGGGCGUAAAGAGCUCGUAGGCGGUUUGUCGCGUCUGCUGUGAAAGCCCGGGGCUUAACCCCGGGUGUGCAGUGGGUACGGGCAGACUUGAGUGCAGUAGGGGAGACUGGAAUUCCUGGUGUAGCGGUGAAAUGCGCAGAUAUCAGGAGGAACACCGAUGGCGAAGGCAGGUCUAUGGGCUGUUACUGACGCUGAGGAGCGAAAGCAUGGGGAGCGAACAGGAUUAGAUACCCUGGUAGUC